AUUGAACACUGGCGGCAUGCCUUACACAUGCAAGUCGAACGGUAACAGGUCUUCGGAUGCUGACGAGUGGCGAACGGGUGAGUAAUGCAUCGGAACGUGCCCAGUAGUGGGGGAUAGCCCGGCGAAAGCCGGAUUAAUACCGCAUACGACCUGAGGGUGAAAGGGGGGGAUCGCAAGACCUCUCGCUAUUGGAGCGGCCGAUGUCAGAUUAGCUAGUUGGUGGGGUAAAGGCCUACCAAGGCAACGAUCUGUAGUUGGUCUGAGAGGACGACCAGCCACACUGGGACUGAGACACGGCCCAGACUCCUACGGGAGGCAGCAGUGGGGAAUUUUGGACAAUGGGCGCAAGCCUGAUCCAGCAAUGCCGCGUGCAGGAAGAAGGCCUUCGGGUUGUAAACUGCUUUUGUCAGGGAAGAAAUCUUCUGGGUUAAUACCCCGGGAGGAUGACGGUACCUGAAGAAGAAGCCCCGGCUAACUUCGUGCCAGCAGCCGCGGUAAAAC
rnacentral:rRNA from 1 species